rnacentral:rRNA from 1 species
AUAUUAUUAGGCGGAGGAAAAGAAACUAACCAGGAUUCCCUCAGUAACGGCGAGUGAAGCGGGAAGAGCUCAGGCUGAAAAUCCGCAAGGAGUUGUAGCCAAGCUAGGUCAGCUAUAAAGCGAGUAAAGUCUCCUGGAACGGAGCGCCGUAGAGGGUGACAGCCCCGUUGCUACUUGCUCUAAAAGCGUACGACCGGCUUUGUUUGAGUCGAGUUGUUUGGGAUUGCAGCUCUAAGUGGGUGGUAAAUUCCAUCUAAAGCUAAAUAUUGGUGGGAGACCGAUAGCGCACAAGUA